AUGUGCGCAUAUCCCGCGAGCAACAUCCUUGGGAUAUCCCAAGGAUGUUUUUGUGCUAUGUGGGGAUACAUUUCGGAAUCCAAUGCUAGCGUAGUUAGGUAAUGACUAUUCUUAAUAUAAUUAAGAGUACUUUAUUGGCAGAUUCAGCAUUUUAUUAUUCUCUGCAUUAUUUUCUUAUUACGAAUAUAUUCUAUACAUUAUAUUACAGUAAGUGGUUUUUUUGGGGGGGGCACGUAUGCUCGCUACGCCACUGAAUGGGUGGCAGAACGUCAGAGCUGGGAGACGACACACAUUCACUCACCAUGACUCGAUUGCAUCGAAUGCAAUCACAUCAAACAUAAUGAGAUCCUGGCGCCGUCUGCCGGCCAGCAUUGUAAUUAUAAGUGCUUUUUAAUUCAAAUGCAUUUGCAACGAAAGUAAUGAGUUAUUCCCAAAUAAUUAUCUUGAAUUUUUAAAAUUUUAUAUAAAAUGGUUCUAGAAAUUUGUAAACAACCAAUCUACAGGCAAUUUCCUUUCCUUUUUUUUUAAUAAUUUGUUGUGAACUGAAUUCCGGUUAAAUUUCUACUUUUAAGUAAAAUAAAUAUUAAAUGAACGAUUAAAAUAAUUCAUAUACGAUGCAAAAUAAAACACUAUAAAAUUCAGACUAAUUCCUGUAAUUUGCAAUAACAGCUGCUUCAAAUAGUAAUGGCAAACAAAACAGAAAUUGUGAUGGUUCUUAGUACUUACUGUUAACUGAGCUGACAGAGAGUUCAUCACAGUAGAUUAUGUCCUUCUGAAGAUCUUAAGAAAUUUGUGAGGUGUAGCAGAGCAAGAUUACGUUUAGCUGAUGUGAAGAGCAAUUCUUUUAUCCCGGAGAACCAACAACACCCGAAUGGUAUUGCGGCUGAAUUCUGAUAGUUCUGUUGUGGCUUGAACUGAUGCAGAAACUUUAAAUACUAAUUAAUAUCGUUUUAUCGUUUUUUGUUGUUUUCAGAAUGGGAACAAAAAGAUUAUUCAAUUUUUGUUUUUCUUGGAAUGGCAGCAAAAGAUUAUUAAUGAUAUUGUUCUAAAGAGUUGUUUACAUUUGCUAAAAACGAAAUAAAGAUUAUUUUUGAUUUGUUGUAAAACUAAAGAUUAAUUUGGAGUCAGAGCCAAUAGUUCUACCUGAAUUCAACUCCCGGCGAACGAGGUGGCUGAAUGGUAUUUUCCGUGGUUUUCUCUCCCGUAUAAGCUACUUUCCCUUAGAAAGGUCUUUCACGGAGAGACAGCCGUCGUGUAUUUUGCCGUAAUACACAUAAUUCACUCCAGUCCUUUGUCCCAAAAGUAUUCGAUUUGAAUAAGGUAAGAAUCAUUCUACUCAGGUCAAUAUAUAUUUGCUAGAUUCUUUCCUAUUCUUCUUUCUCAUGAUACUUUUAAGAAUAUUUUUGUGUCGUGUUUUAUUGCAAAAUCUCUGCUAUCAUCUGUAAAUACAGAAAUGUAGGAAUCUUGUACUUUUCCCUAUAUAACUGAUUUGUCAUAAGUUGUAGAAAUGGUGAUGAGCGCCUAUUUAAAUCAACGAGAGACCAUUCUGGAGAGCUUUUCAAUUUUUCUGAUCCACAGCUUGUGACCCAUAUCUAACUAUCUGCAACUUAACGCGACUCGCAUACAUAUAAUUCCAAUUCAACGGGAAACACAGGUACUCUGAUAAAAGAAGGAGCCACAACACCAAGCAAAAAAAGUUCCCGGAAGAAAGCAUGUUAAAUUCCAGAAAUAGUUGUAGAGUCUUUAGGUUAUAUCAAUGAUGAACCAAACAAACAAACAAACAAAAAAAAAAAAAAAAAAAAAAAAAAAAAAAAAAAAAAAACGGGCAAUGCCUUCGCCGAUAUUCGGACUCCGUACCUCCCGAAUGCCUGCCGAGUGUACGUCGAGCUACACCACGAAGGCAUAAGGAAAGGUGAGAAAAAAUACCUUAUAGAGUAAAUAAAUAUACGACUAUUACUAAUUAAUUGAUAAUUAAAAAUUAAUUACAAAUUGAGGUAAGUAUCUGUAAAUACACUAUAGGAAAAAAAGUACUUCAGUAUUUUCUGUGACUUACAAGAAACUGUGUUGUGACCUACACUUUGGAAAACCACUGCUUUAUUGCCUCUGUUUUUCAACAAUCGAAAAGCUGAAUCAAAUUUUAAGCUUUAUCUACGUCUGUAUCCUUUACCAGAAUAUGCAUUUAUCUGCAUAUAAAUGUUUUCCCAUUUUCUUCGAGACACUAAUGAUGGUCUUGAUCCGUUCUCAAGGUUUGUCCGUCUAAUUAAUUGCGAGAAUUUUACCGGAAGUCAGGAAUAUAAACUUUCUGUUAUGCAUAUUAUAUAUAAUAUUUCUAUUAUACAUAAACUGUACUUUUCUUGGGAAAACGAUAAGUGAUUUAGUCAUGUAACUGGUGUUUCGUUACAGGUGACUACUCGAUGGACUUGAUGAUAAUGGCAAAAGGUCUAGACACUGGGUGAUCUUCGGGACAACGAUCAGGAGCUGAGAGAAAUCAGUAUAACGAAAGUUAUUACUUUUGGUCUAAUAAGCGGAAAAAUGUCAAGAGAGGUCAGUAGCCUUUAUGUGUAAAAAGAGAAAAAUGAGGAACGCCUCCAUAUACAGGGAAACCAUGCAAACGCCCAUGCAGCCAGCCUGUUAGCGGGAUUCGAAACUCGGACUGAACUACUACCACUGUUCAGCAACUUGUUCUAUCUCUCGACCGCUGGUGGCCCGUGAAUAUUUUGAUAAGCA